CUAAAACAAGAAAUAAAUGAAAGCAUCUUCACAGCCUGUAGGGAACACAAAAUUGUACUCAAUGACAAGGGGUGAGAUGACGUCACAGUUGCCAUAAAGGGCAGAAAGCUUCGGAAUGGACGCUGUGGACACAGACUCAACUGCCAGAGGCCUCUGCUUCACUUUUCCUUAAGUAAAUUCAACUGACAUCAGAAGAAAGAGUGCAGUUCCAAGACAUGCUUAGAAGAAAACAUUGUCUACCACAACGUCAUCUCAACCCAUAUGGCAAGAAAAAUGUACCUUAUACCCAGGGUGGCUGUGUUAGAGCAAGCAUCCAUGUACAUGAUCAGCAAUGCCUCAGAAGAAAGAACAUCAUUUCAGAAUCUUUGGUCAAAAUCUGAUGACUGCUUGCUUUGCCCCACUGUCCAGUAAGAGAAAUACAUUCAUCUUAUUUCUGUCAAUUAACUGACGCCUUUGGUCCCUGCAACCCUGGGAUCAUGUCAUCCCUUCCUCUGAAUUCAAGAUCGUCCAAUUUGAUGGCAGCUUUACAGCUUACAACCCUGACCUGUAAGGAAGAACCUCCAGGCCUCUGCAUGGUGAAGACUGGGAGAGAGAAAGCAAUGCAGCCACAGGGGAGACCAUGGACCACUUUCUCAUGUCUCUGGCUGGCUGGAUGAGGCCUACCCACUUUAAGGUCAUUAUCAUGGAAGCACAGAAACAGUCUUUAGCAUCUUGGGAAGCCAGCUUUCACUUAACGGGGGCAUGAUGAAUGAUAAAGCAUCAUGAGUAAUGAUGUAACCAAGUCAAAUAAAUGACAAUAGGAAACAGCAGAGGUGAUAAGAAUUAUAAGGUUUCAAUGCAAACAGCCAUGACACUGUGAGCAGAUACAGCUUUGCUACCUGUGUUUCCAAUUGAGAUACGAAAUCACCAAGGAACAUUGCAUUCUACCUGAAGAGACAGUUUGGAAAAUAUUUGCCUAGACUAUUAAUCAUCUCCUUGCAUCAUCACAACAAAAUAUCACACUCUUUGUUGUAAUCAACUGAAGUUUAUUUCUCCUUGUCCUGGUGGCUAGAGACUAAGAUCAAGAUACCUGAAAAGGUAUUUCUAGCACCUCUUUGCUUAGUUUUCAGAUGGCUGCCUUCUAGCUGUACCCUUACAUCCCAUACAGGCCUUGUAUGGCUCAUCCCUUAAUAAAAGACAUGAGUCAUAAUGGAUUAGGACACUACUCACAUGACUCUUUAACCUUA